UCGCAUGGCGUUGAGUCGCGCGGCCUCGAGCGACUCCAGCUUGUCAACCUCGUCAGGCGACCCGGACACACGCAGACCGGGGGCAUUCAGCUCUGCGGUG
rnacentral:SRP_RNA from 14 species